UAUGAAUAAAAAUGAUGAAUUUUCCCCUUUAGAAUCAAAGUCUAACGUGCCAAUUUUAAACACCUAUUCAUAA
rnacentral:tRNA from 1 species